rnacentral:rRNA from 1 species
AACUUUCAGCAACGGAUCUCUUGGCUCUCGCAUCGAUGAAGAACGCAGCGAAAUGCGAUAAGUAAUGUGAAUUGCAGAAUUCAGUGAAUCAUCGAAUCUUUGAACGCACCUUGCGCCCUUUGGCUAUUCCGAAGGGCAUGCCUGUUUGAGUAUCAUGA